GGUGGUUGUCAAGUAAACGAAAGGCGCUAACUAGUUUUUGUAAAAUGGCGAAAAUUUAGCGAGAAUUGGUUGUAUCUAGCUUUUUGAUUGUUAAGGUGGCUGCGGUAUUCAGUGAAGAUUUUUACCAUCUACUUCAUUGCUGCUGUUUUAAGUGAAACAUGGUCAUGGCAGAAACAGAGGAUGAAGAGUCAACUCUGGCACAUUACUAUGAGUAUCAACAUAAUUAUUCCGUGGCUUUGGAGGCAGUCAACCAAGUGACUGUUAGUUUCCCUGGGUUUCUCCCUGCCUUUAUUAAGAAUAUGAAGCUUCUAUUGACCCUGCAGGACUGUGAGAAAACUGUAGGCGCAGCACAGAGAAGGAUAAAAACAACCUGGAAGCCCUGAGAAUGCUCACUUUUCCCUCCUUAUGCAGAGAGGGAGACAUCACAGAGUCAGUGAACCAGCUCUCAAAUCUCAUCAGCAGCUUGGACACCCAAGAGCCUCACAGCCCAGAGCUUUUCUACAGGAUGCCCUUCGCUUUCACAUGGGUGGUAUUAUCAGGUGCCAGCUGAUCGAGGGACACUUAGAGGAUGCAGAGCAACAGCUGGAGUUUCUCAUAGAGAUCCAGCAGUCGGGAAAUCAGGGUUAAGGCUGAUAGAGGAAAGAUAUUCCACUGUUUAAUCCAGUUCAAAGGCCAAGCCAAAGUAACCCUAUUACACUUUUGACAUUCAUAUCCACUAUUUGGAAAUAAAGUAAAGCCCAGUAGCCUUUUGCACAACUUUUUGUUGAGUAAUUCUUGGUAUUUUCUGUGUUUGUUAAGCCAUUUACAGUGACAUCAGCCUGAAUGAGUAACCUCUGAGUAACAGCUGGUUCUGUGACUCUUAAGUUUUAUGGCCUCUGCUGGUCCAGAGGAUACUCUCUGGUUAUGUCCCAAAUGUAUUGCUUUUGUAGUACACUAUGAAGGGAAUAGGGUGCCAUUAGGGAUGCACAUUCUGCUGUACGAUUGUGGUAUAAACAAUACUGUUUAUACCAGUAGAGCUACCCUAGUCCUACUGAGCUGAAUACUGUGGAGACCCUGUGACACCCUUGGCUUGCUAUCUCCUCUCUUUCAGGAGCUGCUGUACCUGUGAGCUGUGCUGGCUAUGAAGAAACACAGGCCACAGGAUGAUGUCACCAACCCGCUGAACGAUGCAGUGGACACACACACUGCAGGGCCUGCCGCUGGUGGUGAAACUAUUUUGAGAAGCUCGACCCUGACUUCCUGCUGCAGAUUGUCACGGAGUACAUAGAACUCUAUCCUGCUAAGGUCAGUCUGGAGGGGGAUGUGUGUGGAUACAUUUGUUCAAAACAUAAUUUCACACUUUAUUCAGACAGUGUAGAAAUUGUAAGGGGAUAUACAGUAGAUGAGGGGAUAAAGUUGGCGAAGGGGUUCUGCACAUCUAUGGAUCCAUUUAUAGAGAUUACUGUCCAGCCUCCUGCCACUCAGCUCCAGCAUUAAACCUCUGUUUUGGACACUGUGGUCAAGAUAGUACCUGGACUCCUUCAGUGUGGCUUGCCAUUGGCCAAAGUCAGGUUUCAGUCAGGUGACAUUGACACUGCACAGAGCAGCCUCUAAUAUUGCCUGGACCAGUGUCCCUCCCAUGCUGAGGCCUACCUGCUCAUGGAACAGAUCCACCUCCAACAAGGCAAUUACAAGCUCUCCUCCUAGUCUCUAGAGUUCUGCCUCAGCCACAACUUUGAGGUAAGAACAGUAUUUCAGAUGAAUGUGAUAUUAGAUCAAACGGAACUGUUAUGGGAACAUCCCUCCUCGAAUAACUCUGUGUGCCUCUCCCUGCCAGGUCCAUGAUCAUCCUGUGUAUCACCUAAUAAAGGACCAGGCACAGAAUGAGAGAAACUGAAAUGACUGAAAUAUAUUAUUAUGAUCAUGCGUCUAGGUCUCACCCAAGAUAUGCGCAUAAUUCACAACAUUGCUAUUGCUUAGAUAUACGGGAACCCAGCCUUGUGCUGACCUUUAGGCCUGGGAUGUACAGGCCAAGGUGUUGGAGCUGCCAGACGCCGUCCCUAUGCAGAAGCAGCUCGCUGCACAGAUCUGUGCCGAGAUCGCUAAACACUACACGAGUCUUAGAGGCUAUGAGAGCGCAGUGAAAUUCUACAAGGAAGCGCUUGUCUAUUGUGAGAGGGAUAGCAAGUUCGGUGCAGCUGAAUCAAGCCUUCAAGUGUGUGCUCUCUGCAGCUGUAAUUGUAAAUCCCUAGCAUCUCUUUCUGUCUCGGUUCUGUGCUGUUUUUGUAUAGUUUGCUCAUUUGCUUAUUACGAUAGUUUAUCUUAUCCGCUAAAUUCUAAUAUAAAUAAGUGACAAUUUUGGGGGUGAAUGUAUGUUUCACACCCGGCCAGAUAUAUUACUACAUGUGCUCAUAGGAAAGGAUAAUAUUAUUAUCAUGUUAGAAGAUAAUCGGUUAAGAAAGCUUAAUUUUGAAUGUUUUCAUUGCUAGUAGGUGAUGUUGGAGCUGGCUCGGUUGUACCUUACUCUAGAUUAUGUAAAUGGCUGCCAACAGCAAUGCAGUGUCAUUCUGAAGAGUGACCAGGUCAAUGAAGAUGCAAAACUGGUUAGUAUACGCCAUCUCUGUCGAGUCCCAUUUGAAAAUGUUGUUGUAAAACUUGAUUAAUCAAAUCAAAUUGUAUUUGUCACAUGUGCCAAAUACCACAGAUGUAGACCUUACCGUGAAAUGCUUACUUACAAGCCCUUAAUCAAUAGUGCAGUUCAAGAAAUAGAGUUGAGAAAAUAUUUUCUAAAUUAACUAAAGUUAAGGAAUUUCAUCCCGCUCCACUACAGCAAUGUUGAUGUUAAUGGGGGCCUGUUCGGCCCUCCUUUUCCACGAGUAGCUCCUUUGUCUUGCUCACAUUGAGGGAGAGGUUGUUGUCCUAUCUCUGACCUCCCCAUAGGCUGUCUCAUCGUUGUCGAGUCAUACUUGGCCACGCAGUUGUGGGUGAACAGGGAGUACAGGAGGGGACUAAGCACACACCCCUGAGGGGCCCCAGUGUUAAGAAUCAGUGUGGCAUAUGUGUUGUUGCCUACCCUUACCAUCUGGGGGCGGCCCGUCAGGAAGUCCAGGAUCCAGUUGCAGAGGGAGGUGUUUAGUCCCAGGGUCCUUAACUUAGUGAUAAGGCUUUGUGGGCAAUAUGGUGUUAAAUGCUGAGCUGUAGUCAAUGAAUAGCAUUCUCACAUAAUGUCGGUGUUCCUUUUGUUCAGGUGGGAAAGGGCAGUGUGGAGUGCGAUUGAGAUUGCUCUAUCAAUGUAUCUGUUGGGGUGGUUUGCGAAUUGGAGUGUGUCUCGUGUUGAUGUGAGCCAUGACCAGCCUUUCAAAGCACUUCAUGACUACCAAGGUGAGUGUUACGGGGCGGUAAUCAUUUAGGCAGGUUACCUUCGCUUUCUUGGUCAUGGGUUCUAUGAUGGUCUGUUCGAAACAUGUAGGUAUUACAGAGUCGGUCAGGGAGAGGUUGAAAAUGUCAGUGAAGACACUUGUCAGUUGGUCUGCACAUGCCCUGAGUACACGUCCUGGUAAUCCAUCUGGCCCCGUGGCUUUGUGAAUGUUGACCAGUUUAAAGGUCUUGCUCACAUCGGCUAUGGAGAGCGUGAUCAUACAGUUGUCCUGAACUGCUGGUGCUCUCAUGCUUGCUUCAGUGUUGCUUGCCUCGAAGCGAGCAUAAAAGGCAUUUAGCUCAUCUGGUAGGCUCGCGUCACUGGGCAGCUUGCGGCUGGUUUUCCCUUUGUAGUCCAUAACAUUUUUCAAGGCCUGCCACAUCCGACAAGCAUCAGAGCCGAUGUAGUAGGAUUCAAUCUUAGUCCUGUAUUGAUACUUUGCCUGUUUGAUGGUUUCGUUUGAGGGCAUAGCGGGAUUUCUUAUAAGCGUCCGGAUUAGUGUUCCACUUCUUGAAAGCAGCAGUUCUAGCCUUUAGCUCAGUGCCGAUGUUGCGGGUUAUCCAUGGCUUCAGGUUGGGAAAUGUUUAUACUGUCACUGUGGGGACGACAUCGUCAAUGCCGGUGACUGAUGUGGUAUACUCCUCAAUGCCAUUGGAUGAAUCCCGGAACAUAUUCCAGUCUGUGAUAGCAAAACAGUCCUGUAGUGUAGCAUUCACGUCAUCUGACCACUUCCAUAUCUAGCGAGUCACUGCUACUUCCUGCUUUAGUUUUCGCUUGUAAGCAGGAAUCAGGAGGAUAUGGAGGGCGAGGGAGAGCUUUGCAUGCGUCUCUGUGUGUGGAGUAAAGUUGGUCAAGAGUUUUUUAUUCUCUGGUUGCACAUGUGACAUGCUGGUAGAAAUGAGGUAAAACGGAUUUAAGUUUGCCUGCAUUAAAGUCCCCGGCCACAAGGAGCGCCGCUUCUGGGUGAGCAAUUUCUUGUUUGCUUAUGGCCUUAUACAGCCCUUUGAGUGCUGUCUUAGUCCCUGCAUUGGUUUGUGGUGGUAAAUAGACGGCUACGAGUAAUAUUGAUGAGAACUCUGCGUAGAUAGUGUGGUCUACAGCUUAUCAUGAAGUAUACUACCUCAGGGGAGCAAUACCUCGAGACUUACCUCAAGAGUUAUUGACAAAUAGACACACACCCCGCCCCUCGUGUUACCAGAUGUAGCUGCCCUGUCCUGCCGAUGUACAGAGAAGCCAGCAAGCUCUAUAUCAUCCGUGUCGUCGUUCAGCCACUUCUCGGUGAAACAUAAGAUAUUACCAUUUUUAAAUGUCCCGUUUGUAGGAUAUUCUUAAUCGGAGAUCGUCCAGUUUGUUUUCCAAUGACUGCAUGUUGGCCAAUAGUACGGAGGGAAGUGGUGGUUUACCUACUCGUCGGCAAAUUCUUACAAGGCACCCCGCCCUCCUCCCCCUUUUCCUCCGUCUUUUCUAUUCGCUGAUGAUGGGAGAUUUGGGCCUUGUCUUGACAAAGCAAUAUAUCCUUCGCAUCGGACUCAAUAAAGAAAAAAUCUUUGUCCUGUUCGAGGUGAGUCAUUGCAGUUCUGAUGUCCAUAAGCUCUUUUCGAUCAUAAGAGGUGGUAGCAGCAACAUUAGUUACAAACAAUGAGGGGGGAAAAAAAGCCUGUAAAAUGGCAGCCAUCUCCUCUGACGCCAUAGAAUCCCCUCCGGCGCCAUAGGUUCUAUCUUUCCUCGUAUAUGAUGGCUGACCUGACUUUUAGGAAGCAGCACUAUGAGCAAUUUUUUUCCCACUUUCAGCAGCUACUGGAGCGCAAACCAGGUGUGACAGGGCUCUGUUACUCCUGGAUCUGAAUACACAACUUCCCCACUGAAAUAGAACUUAAAUGGAGAUUUGCAAAUCUUUAAAAGGAAACUUAAGAACCUCAAUGUAAAUAUACACUGCUGAGUUGACCUCCCCUGGACGGGAAGUAAUGUCUUUCCCAUAUGUUCCUGCUAGACAACUACCCAACACUGGCACAUCUAAUCGACCUGCUGAGGAGAUCUGGGAAGUUCGAGGAAGUUCCCAGGUUUCUGGAGAUGGCUGAAAAACAAUCCUCCAGGGCCAAGUUUGACCCUGGGUUUAACUAUUGCAAAGGACUUUAUCUGUGGUACACAGGUGAACCCCGUGAUGGGUUGCGAUAUUUCAACAAGGCCUGGAAAGACAACGAUUGGGGUCUGUCUUAACCCAGACAACGAUACUAUGGGAGGAGAAGUCUUUGAGAACUGACAUGGAACUCCACUGAAAAGCAGGAGUCGGAGCAGCUUGCUGUGAGAACGGCAGAGAAUCCCCUGAAGGAGUUAAAGCCCCACACAGCCA